GUAGUUAGUGAGGAUUGGGUCAAAGUAAAGAUGACCUUUUUAGUAAUAGUGAUAGACAUUGGUAAGAAAUAGUAAAUAAGAAAUACGUAGUAAUUAGUAUAAAAGAUAAGGACAGCCCCGCUCGGGGGGAGACGUGAGGAAUCCAUGCAGCUGCGAACAUCUUGUCGGACUCCGAGAAAAUUGUAAGAUAAGAAACAAUAAACGAAGUAUGCAACCUUGAAAAAUCUAAACCUGAGAACUCCGUCUCUUCCUUCGGCUCGGCUCGGAGCUGCGCAGGGGAGCAAGGACCCUGAAACCACCUCAAUGUUGGGUAAAGCAGAGAUGACACUGCAGACCACAAAGUGGAGAUCUCUUCCAGGUCCACAGGACUGAUAAUCUACUAUGUAACCAAGAAUAACACACCUGUAUUGGACUGGACCUUCUGACAACUUACCAAGAUUUAUCAUGGAGGUGAUAGGACAAGAUGAAUUCCUAGGUCAAGUGGAAGAUUUAAUCCAGAAAGUAUCCUUACCCCAUGAGAAGCCAACAUUUAUAUCAUCCCUCUUUGGCAUCACAUUUAGAGUACCAUUUUCUUCAGGUCUCUUAAAGCUUGUAGGCAUGAUUGAAAUGUAAAAACAGUUUCCAGCAUUGACCUUGGAUAGCUCUGAAUGCCAGUUCCUGGCUUUAUGGCAGGGUCUACUGAAAGAAGAGAAAGGAGUCUUAAAGACCGUUACAGUUCUCAUUGCCCACUCUUAACCCCCAUUACCUCUAGAACUCCACUUAGCAAAAAUCCAGAAGGUGGCUUUAAUUAUUCAACCUGUUGCUUGGUGAUCCAUACAACAGUCAGACAUAUGAGGCAUAAAUACAGAGCUGAGCAAUUCAGGCUGAAUAGCAACACGAAGCUUUUACUUUUGCAUAUGCCAAUGGAAUACUUCAAAGUAAUUUAAGGUUCACUUCAACAUUUUUGAUGGGAUAUAUCACGUUGUUUAACUCAAUCAUAGUAACAGAGCCACUGCUUAAUCACCACACGGAGAGAACAGUGGCAAUUGCAUUACGUCUUGUUCCAGAACAGAGAUUUAUGUACACAAAAUAGAAACCAUAUUUCUAACUUUUAGACAAAAACCUGUUUUUUAACACUAUCCUAAAGUUUUAACCAUUGAAGCACCUCAAGUGGUGAUCAGUAUGUCUAUAUUUCUUAGAGCUGGUUGAAAUGUAUUCAGCAAAACUCUAAUUUGCUAAAACAUACUAUUAUGUCAAAGUUAGAAAUAUUUUAGUAAAGGUCAUGACUUUUAAAAGUAACCAUAUUGUGAGGGGAAAAAAUGAAGUGAUAAAUUCUCCAGCAUUGCAAGUGUUGGGAAGCCAGGCAUAAGGGGGAGUUGAACUGGAGUCUUUGGACAGUGUCCCAGAUAUCACCUCUCAUUAUAAUAAUGAAGUAGGAAUUUAUGUCAGUUUAAAAAAUGAUAAUUCAAUACAAUUCUAGGGAUAUAAAAUAAAUUGGAAAGCUUUUGUUUGCAUGCCAGUGUAGUACAAAGUACAUUCAAGUUCCUCAGAAGGUUUUCACAAAAUGAAACCACUGUUCUUGUUCAACACUGAUAUUUUAAAACAUCAGUUUUGCUCAUGGGAAAACUGGCACAGUAAUUUCAAAGGGUAUUCAAUAUGUCAGUUGUUCAGAAAAAGCAUGGGAAUAAAUCUACCUACAAUGGUAAUGACACAG